rnacentral:lncRNA from 1 species
UUUAGGCCGUUGAAGCGACACCCCUUGCUUUGCAGCUUUCUCCUACACGAUAUUUCGCAGAGAUCAAAUCCCCUAACUACAUUAUUACAUUACUACAAAAAGGAUUAACCCAAUAGCUUAAGAAACCGAAACCUACCACCAAGUGAAACCCCACUUACCCUAAUCGUACGACGAAUAACGAAAUUUCGAAAUGUAACAAGAAGAACAAAAGAGUGCAAACUAAAAUUAAAAGGGAAAAAAAUGAAAAACAGUGCAGAGAAGGGAAAGGGAAAAAACGUCAAAAAAAUUUAGGGAGAAAAGAGAAAAACAAAAAAAUUAAAAAAAUUAAAAUUAAAAUAGAAAAAACUCCAACAAGACCUCCAACAAGCCAACUCCUUACCACUCAAACCAGC